rnacentral:rRNA from 1 species
CCCUUAGAUGUCCUGGGCCGCACGCGCGCUACACUGAUGCAUGCAACGAGUAUAUAACCUUGGCCGAGAGGCCUGGGCAAUCUUGUUAACGUGCAUCGUGAUAGGGAUAGAUUAUUGAAAUUAUUAAUCUUGAACGAGGAAUUCCUAGUAAACGCAGAUCAUCAAUCUGCAUUGAUUACGUCCCUGCCCUUUGUACACACCGCCCGUCGCACCUACCGAUUGGAUGGUCCGGUGAAGCCUCGGGAUUGUGGUUCUUGCCGCUUUAUUGUGGCGUGACCGCGAGAACUUGUCUAAACCUUAUCAUCUAGAGGAAGGUGAAGUCGUAACA